UGCAGAUUCAACACCACGUCGCAGAACACGUAGCGCACCAGCAACAGUCGUAGGAAAUCGUCGCCGAAGAAUUGCAACACGCUGGUUUCUGCGUGGACCGAUAAAAGCGCUCGGUCAGGUCCAAGGCGGUUUCUCUCGGAGUUCUGAAUUUUGACGUUCGAGCAAUUCGAUUUAUGUUCCGAUCGGGGACGUCAGCUCGCCGGUAACUUCCAUCGUCAAAUUCGACCCUUUUGCACUUGAUAAAUUUUUAUGAACUCUCCGUUACAGGCAAAUAAACUUUCCCGAUUUCUACGAAUGUUUGCGACAAGUUUAUUUCGAUCCCGACGCAAAAGAAGUGUUGGUAACUCUUGUUCCAGAUGGAAAAACCCGGCAGGUACAUCUUUUCUAAGGUGUAUUUUUCAAUCCUCGAAAUUCAACAUUGUCCAAGUCUUAUUCAAGAAAAAACUUUCUUGUUCCUUCAUACAUAUUAUCUUCUAUCUAAAAAAUAGGAAAGAAUAAUAACUCUAAAGGCAAUUAUAUUCAUCUAAACUUUCCUCUUUUGUAUUUGUAACAUGAAAUAUGGAAUUUGUAUUAUAGGAAGUAAAAAUCACUUAUAUCUUUGA